GUGACGGUUGUUGCGGUUAGCUCACCAUUGGAGGUGAGCUGAACACUGUACUGAAUAUAUAACGAAGUGAUGGCUGAGGGCGGGGUAAGGCGCAGGCGGCGUUUGGCAGGUAAGGCAGAUGUAAAAUGAAAUGAGAUGAGUGGAGGAGCUUGACAUGCAAGUUGAGCUUGAGGUUAAGAUUGUGAGGUAGAGGUGAGCAUGAGGUAGAGGUGAGUGUAUGUAGCGGCGUUGUGUUGUGCGCGGUGGAGUGGGGUCGCUUUAGCGGAUAUGAGUAUAUGGGGCAAUCAAGUUGGAGACUCAACGACGCUCGGGUAAUCAGUCAGCUGUAGUAAUUGUCGAAGCCCCACCGCAGUGCAGCUCCCACAAGCUGACAAAUAUGAGCCGCAGGUAACGUGUAACUAAUUUCUCUAAAUGUCAACACACACACACACACACACAUUGAUGGGCAUGGCAUGUUGGUGCUUUCAGUUGGCAACACGUAUGAAUCCACAAAAGCGUUGAAAGCGCAUCAAUCCGAACCGGGUUGGAUUCGUUCACUAGUAAGCAGCAAGAGCGUGGGUGUUGGGUGUUGGAGGGAAAGGCGUCUAAAGCAUGGCGGCGUACGUGUCGCUGUGCAUACAUACGUGAAAAGUUCUAGUGUUGAGUAGUUGUUGUCUGGGUGUGGGUCAACAGCGUUUAUCUUGAUUUGCCGCAGCAUUCGCGGCAGCCGCAAACAACAAAAGCCGAGCCAAGCUACAUAAAAUCGCUGAAGCAGAACAACACAACGAAUUAUUACGUGCAAACCACAUAAAAAGUAAUUAUAUUAUUAGAACUUGACGAAACGAAAGCAGCGCGCUGCUCUGUGACAUGGAAAAUUUCUUGGUGACUUAACCCAUUCAGUUCAUACCGUUCAGACAUAAUUGAGUAAUUGUAGCGAAAAUGUACUUGAAAUAAUGUUGAAAAGCGUACAAAUGUAUCCAAUGACGAUAAGCAACAAGAUGGACAGCCUUGUAAUGGCAUGAGACUUACUUGAGCUUUUACGGAUCCGUAUCGAAAUGUCUCAAGCAACAUGUGGUACUAAAAAUUUGAAUAGAGCUCCACAUGAACUGUAACGACAUAUGAAAAGGAUUCACUCCUAAUCUGACACAUAAAGAGUGAUCCAUUUCGAUGUUCUUUACUUUUUAAAGAAAAAACACCCAGACUUCAGAUUUAAUGGGGCAAUGUUUAGUAUGAUUCGAAAGAACAUUCUUUGGCAUUCAUUUUUUGAAAAUUAUCUCUUUCAAAUGUUGACCGCGGCUACGUCUCAGAUGGUCCAGCCAUUGAGUCUAAACUUCGAUGACUCUUUCAAGCAUUUUGACUGGUAACUGGCGAGUGACAUGCGUGAUCUUCUGUUCCAAGGCCUGAAUUGAAGCGGUAUUGUCCGCAUAGACUUUAGACUUUACAUAUCCCUACAGAAAGAAAUCUAACAGUGUGAUAACGCACGAUGUUGGUGGGCAAUCGACCGGCUCAAAAUGUGAAAUUAUCUGCUCACCCAAGUGUUCUCUCAAUAAAUCCAUUGAUUGCUGCAGUGUGUGAGAAGUGGUGCCGUCUUGUUGAAAGCAAAUGUCGCCGAGAUCACGAGCUUUAAUUUCAGGAUUCAAAGAGUCGGUUAUCAUGGCGCGAUAACUAUUGUCAUUGACGGUCACGUUCUUACCAUUAUGAUUUUUGAAGAAAUAUGAAUCGAUGAUUCCACCGACCUACAAACCAAAACAAAUCGAUUUUCUUUCUGGAUGAAAUGACAGUUCUUGAAUCCAUUCAGGUUGCUCUUCGUCACAAAUGCGGCAACUUUGCUUGUUUACAUACUAAUUGAGCCAGAAAUGGGCCUCAUCGCUGAACACAAUUUGGAUUGAGAAAGUCGUAUCUUCUUGGAACUUUUCAGGAACGAAGGAGCGAAGCGAUGUCGCUUGGGAAAAUCGAGCGACUGCGCUAAGUCAUUCCACACGUCAGUCCGCGUAGCUGCGAACGGUGCAGAAUCGACUAUUCAUGGUCUUCGAAUACAUUUUCAGAUACGGAUGCUAUAAUCUCUUCGCGACGUGCUGGAUGUGGUCUGUUCGAUCGAAUAUUAUUCAAUAAUGAAUUCGUGCUCUCAAGAUAGGUGAUGGUGUUGCGAAUGGUAGGCUCAGUAGGCCGAUUGGACAUUAAUAAAACCGAGUUUUUACAUCGAUAUGUAACAACGGAUAAAACAUUUAUCCAGAAGGACCACAUAAUAAACGAUCACAUUUGAAAAAAAGGAGAGUGCUGUUUCCUUAAGUCAGUGUAAACGAUGGCAAAGAUCCACGAAUUCGGCUUUGUAUUGCUUCUGCAUUCAACGUAAUCGACAGGUCUGACCCUUAGAGACUAUUUCCUUUCCUCAGACCUCAAAAGAAUGCUCGCUGGGAAGAAACUUUCGUCGAAACUGAGCCCUACUUUGAAGCAACAGACAAAACAUUCUACAAGCAUGGUAUGAAACAAUUGUUCGGUCGGGGUCUUAUCAAUUGACCGUUAUGCAAAAUAUUCGUCAAACCGGAUCUGAAGUCGCUAAAUUUUCAAAAAUUUCUUUUUUGUUGGAACUUGUGGAACGGUCAGAAUAAUAUUUCAUUUCAACUGAACAGUUUUUGAAGAUAAACGGUAGAAGUUUACGUGGCGAAAUCUUGGCUGUAUUUGCUCUCUCCAAAUUUGACUAUGGCGAAAUCUUUCGUGUGUUUUCUUCGAAUUGUGUUUUAUCUCUCUGAUUUCCCGAAAUGUUACAAGCACUAUUUGGUGCUAUAAAGUUUACCAGAUAUUCUUUUUAUAUUUAUCUCUGAGUGUCUGCUAAGCCAAACUGAUGACCAUUAUUCGAAAUUGAAUCCGUUCAAUCGACAUGGCCAUUUCGACAUUAUGAACUUGUGGAACAGUAAAUUUUGCAAGAUAAAUGAGCAUAGAUAACUAUUCCUAUUCCUAUUAAACUGUGGAGCUUUUGCAGAUAAACGGAAAGAAUUUAUAUGCAGAAAUCUUUGCUAUAUUCGAGGGGAUCCAACUGUAUUAUCUGUAUCUGACUUUUGUCUCCCACCAAACCUUUUUUUACUGAUUCUACCCACAAUGGAGCUUGACUCGUGUCAAUCAAUUACAUAUUUGCCAUUAUGUCAGCCACAAGGUACGAGUAUAUAGUCGCAACGAAGCCGUCUCGUCUUGCGCUUCAGCAGCCCACAAGCUGCAAGCGGCCAACAAGCUCCAAACCCAAUCAAGUAAGGCCUUAUAAGCGCGCCAGCUUGUUUAAUUAAAAUUUAUCACAGCGUCCAAAAAUGGCAAAUAAAAGGCGGAAGGCGGAUGGCGGGUAGGGCAGCAGAUAAUUGCUCGAUAGAAGCGGCAAUAAAUAAAUAAAAAAUAUAAAAAAAAAUAUUUUUAAUAAGAUAUACAAUUAGUGCACGGCAGCGCGGAGCAGCAGCGCAAGCGGCUGUGAAUAAGCGUGUAGCACGGAAGCAGCCCAAGUGCAGGCGUAUUUUAUUAAUAAAAUUUGAAAUAUAAAAAAGCCGUAAAAAAUAUAGAAAAAUUAUUUAAUCGCCAAUGAAACUAGUGAUUACAUGUGACAGCAACGGAAAAGUGUCCGGGGGGUUACGGGCAGUUCAGCAACACGCUAGCAACAGCAACAGCGAAAAUUGCGCGGCGUGUGCCGCUGAAAAAUCACUUUUUUCGGAAAUGCCAAGCACACGUUUCCUUUGAUGAAUUUACUUUGUGGUUCUUUCUUGCUACUUGGCUACAAACACCGCUGGUGACACGUUGGACUGCGCUGCAACAAGUCAAAGUGACAGACACUCGCAGAUAUUUAUAUAAACCACAUAGACUAGCGCUUGUGUUGGCCCCCACGCUAGCGACUUUGACAGACUGCUGGACGUCAGCAAAUUGUGUCGAGCGAUUUUUUGAUGUGCGAUUCGCUUGCCAAACAACAACAACGACAAGUAUAUGGCAUAUACAAUAUAUGCUAGAAUAUUUUAGAGCAAAUGCUGUUGCAUAUUUAUGAAUAUGGGUUUGCG